rnacentral:rRNA from 1 species
AUUGAACGCUGGCGGCAGGCCUAACACAUGCAAGUCGAACGAGUGGCGGACGGGUGAGUAAUGUCUGGGAAACUGCCUGAUGGAGGGGGAUAACUACUGGAAACGGUAGCUAAUACCGCAUACCAUCCGAUGUUCCCAGAUGGGAUUAGCUUGUUGGUGGGGUAAGGGCUCACCAGGGCGACGAUCCCUAGCUGGUCUGAGAGGAUGACCAGCCACACUGUAACUGAGACCAGGUCCAGACGCCUACGGUAGGAAGCAUUGGGGAAUAUUGGACAAUGGGCGCAAGCCUGAUGCAGCCAUGCCGCGGGUAUGAAGAAGGCCUUCGGGUUGUAAAGUACUUUCAGCGGGGAGGCGUUACCCGCAGAAGAAGCACCGGCUAACUCCGUGCCAGCCGCCGCGGUAAUUC